rnacentral:rRNA from 1 species
GAUGAACGCUGGCGGCGUGCCUAAUACAUGCAAGUCGAGCGAACGGACGAGAAGCUUGCUUCUCUGAUGUUAGCGGCGGACGGGUGAGUAACACGUGGAUAACCUACCUAUAAGACUGGGAUAACUUCGGGAAACCGGAUCUAAUACCGGAUGAUAUUUUGAACCGCAUGGUUCAAAAGUGAAAGACGGUCUUGCUGUCACUUAUAGAUGGAUCCGCGCUGCAUUAGCUAGUUGGUAAGGUAACGGCUUACCAAGGCAACGAUGCAUAGCCGACCUGAGAGGGUGAUCAGCCACACUGGAACUGAGACACGGUCCAGACUCCUACGGGAGGCAGCAGUAGGGAAUCUUCCGCAAUGGGCGAAAGCCUGACGGAGCAACGCCGCGUGAGUGAUGAAGGUCUUCGGAUCGUAAAACUCUGUUAUUAGGGAAGAACAUAUGUGUAAGUAACUGUGCACAUCUUGACGGUACCUAAUCAGAAAGCCACGGCUAACUACGUG